ensembl:snoRNA SNORA70 Small nucleolar RNA SNORA70
GGGAGCCGACUGUGCCUUUCCCCGCGGAGGCUGCUGUGCCGUGGCGGCAAACAGCAGCCUCCCCGGUAGCGUGUGCAGCCUACUGACUGCACGGGUGGCCCUAAGGGACCGCGGAGACAGCG